ACUGGACAUCUGCAGAGAGGACAAGAAAUGGGGCACCGACACAAUCAAAAGCCCAGGGGAAAAGGCUUGAAGGUUCAGCCAAAAAUCCAGCCCCUCCCAAAGGACAAAGAUUCAACCCUCCAGAACAGUUCACAAACACUUCUCAGAGUCCUGCAUGCUGUGCAGGUGGUAAACAUCUCUGGGAGUCUCACCAACACUGUGAGUAAGGCAGCCUUUUUACCCACUUCACAGAAGGAGAAACUGAGGCUUAGUAAGGCCAAGUAACUAAUUCUGCCUCCCACACUUCACUCCCUAGAGUUUUAUGUGUGCAUGUGUUAAAGUUCUCCUUUUACCGCCAGUAGUGUUUAUGUAUAAUUAAAAUAGCUCACAUCUGUUGAUUAACAGUCACAUUACAACCUGCAUUAACUCUUCCACUUAAUGCCUGUUAAAGGAUUAGCAAACCAUCUUACAGAUGAGGAAGGCAAGGCACAGAGAAUUAACGUCCACACCAUGCUUACCAGUGAGUGGAGCAGGGAUUCAAACCUAGACCUUCUGUGUCUAGAGCCCUCCUCAGCCAUCACCUCUCGUUCUCCAUUAGAGUUGGUUAUCAUGUGAGUUGAGGCCCAAAGGUUAAUGGAAGUUAUUAUUCAUCUUCACCACAAAUUGAACUUUUUAUCUUUACCUACUGUCCUCUUCAUCCUUUUCAUGCUUUGGACCCUAAAACACACUUAGAUAUUAACUUUACCAGUUCUUCCUUUUUGGUUACAUGUGCCAGGUAUACUUUGUCAAACUUUUAAUUUUGGGUGUUUUGUUUUGUUUUUUGUUAGCGAGACAAGAUUUCACUGUCGCCCAGGCUGGAGUGCAGUGGCGCAAUCUCGGCUCACUGCAACCCCCGCCUCCUGGGCAUAAGCAAUCCUCCUGCCUUGGCCUCCCAAGUAGCUGAGACUACAGGCAUGAGCCACCACACCCAGCUAACUACUUGUAAUUUUUUUGGUAGAGACAGGUCUUGCCAUGUCACCCAGACUGAUCUCAAAACUCCUGGGCUCAGGCGACCCACCCACCUUGGCCUCCCAAAGUGCUGGGAUUACAGGUGUGAGCCACUGCAUCUGACCCAAUUUGUAAUUUUGAACCUCUUCUUACUAUCCUGUUUCAGAUUUUUUUUGGUAAACAACUAUAGCUGGAUUUUGUUUUCCAACCCAGUCUAAAGCAGUCUCAGAUUUUGUUAGAACUGAAGGAUCUGAUAUUUUUAUGUCAUUUUAUUCUAUGUGAAUGGUUUAUUUUACUCCUUUUUCCAUAGUUUUGAUGGUUUGGGCAAAUUACUAUUUAUUCUCUUUCUCAUUGUCAAUCUGUCAUUUCAGCAAAGGGUUGCUUCCUGAUCAUUAUAUAGAAACAGGGUAAGCACCUGCCUCCCCCUAGGACUCUCUCUGCUUCCUUCUGCCCUACCCGCCCCAGUAAGAGCUACCCCAAGAAGGCUCCUAUCCCUGCCACCUUCCACUGAUAUUUUCCUAUAAACUGUGAGACUUAACUAACAAUGAUUCCCUCUCCUUCCAUCUUGGGGUCUCUGCUCUGAUCAACUGUCAUUUCAUUACAGCCUUUCUUGAUGAUUUCCCUCACAUGUAACACAAGCGGGAAAUAUCCUCUGAAUUUCUCUUGCUCGUCUGCAAAAUAUAUUUCCUAGUCUGGUCAGGGAACGGUAUUAAUGCUCUGGUGAGGCUUCCUGGGCCCAGGCCAGCCAGAGUCCUCCGGCUUUCAGUGCUGCAGAUGAGGAAUCUGCUGCCAAUGUGUUUUUUUUCUUUCUCCUUUGUCAAUUAUCUAUUUAUUCUGUUGGGAAGCCUCUUUGAUUUUAUCUGUGGAUUUCAAGAAUGUCACCAGGAGAUGCCAAGGGUGUAUCUUUUUCUUUAAUGUAACCUUGCCUGGAACUCUAACAACCUUUUCAAUGUGCAAACUCAUGCCCUCUUCUGAUCAGGGAAAAUUUCUACUAUUAUUUAUUGAUCAUAUUCACCAUGUCCAGACCUGCUUCCUCUUCUCCUUCCAGAGCCCCUAACAUUUACAGGUAGAUGAAAAGACACCCACCAAACCUAUCUUUUCUUUCGUGACUUCCACCUGUGUUUCUGGUUUUCUGGGAGGCCUUUGUUUCUCAGAAACAGGAAAACCAUCCUCUUUUCCACCUGACAUUUUGAAUUUUCUAAAUUUGAAAAUCCUGGUUCUAGAACCGCUUUUCUUGGGCAGUAUCUGGGUUUCCCUGGGUUUUUGAAACCUAACACUUGUCCAGUAUGUGAUGCUUGGCUUUCCUUCUCCCUCCAGCUGGGGGUCCCUCAAGGCUACUCCAUGUCCCCAGCAGCCAGGUCCAGCUGUGGGGUCCCCUUCCAGUGGGUGCACGGUUAUGCCUCUGGCCCCUGACCUGCCCUAGGGUAGCAAUAGCUUUCAGCAACCUCUGGGACAGAGGGCAAGGGAAGGAGAGAGUGGAAAGACUCUAACCCCACCUGUCUCUGUUGGGAGGCCCACCCAGGACUCCAAGGACAGGAAUUGAUUCGCACUUUCUCUUCUGACUUGUUUUUGUAGAGAUAAGGUUUUGUCACAUGGCCCAGGCUGGGUCUUGAACUCCCAGGCUCAAGUGAUCCUCCAGCCUUGGCCUCCCAAAGUGCUAGGAUUACAGGUGUGAGCCAAUGCACCCAGCCAGGUGCCUGUGUAAGAGACCUUAGCCCCCUUGCCUCUUCUGCCAUGUGAGGACACAGGGAAUCAGAAAGUGGUCCCUUACCAGACACAAAAUCUUCUGGCACCUUGAUCUUGGACUUUGUCUCCAGAAUUGUGAGAAUAAAUUUCUGUUUAUAAGCC
rnacentral:lncRNA from 1 species